rnacentral:rRNA from 1 species
GUCAAAAAGAUUAAGUUAUUAAGGGCGCACGGUGGAUGCCUUGGCACUAGAAGCCGACGAAGGACGUUACUAACGACGAUAUGCUUUGGGGAGCUGUAAGUAAGCUUUGAUCCAGAGAUUUCCGAAUGGGGAAACCCAGCACGAGUUAUGUCGUGUUAUCGAUAUGUGAAUACAUAGCAUAUCUGAAGGCAGACGCGGAGAACUGAAACAUCUUAGUACCCGCAGGAAGAGAAAGAAAAAUCGAUUCCCUGAGUAGCGGCGAGCGAAACGGGAAGAGCCCAAACCAACGAGCUUGCUUGUUGGGGUUGUAGGACACUCUAUACGGAGUUACAAAAGAACAGACUAGACGAAUCAUCUGGAAAGAUGAAUCAAAGAAGGUAAUAAUCCUGUAGUCGAAAGUUUGUUCACUCUUGAGUGGAUCCUGAGUACGACGGAACACGAGAAAUUCCGUCGGAAUCUGGGAGGACCAUCUCCCAAGGCUAAAUACUCUCUAGUGACCGAUAGUGAACCAGUACCGUGAGGGAAAGGUGAAAAGUACCCCGGAAGGGGAGUGAAAUAGAACUUGAAACCGUGUGCUUACAAGUAGUCAGAGCCCGUUAAUGGGUGAUGGCGUGCCUUUUGUAGAAUGAACCGGCGAGUUACGAUUUGAUGCAAGGUUAAGCAGUGAAUGUGGAGCCGUAGCGAAAGCGAGUCUGAAUAGGGCGUUGAGUAUUUGGUCGUAGACCCGAAACCAGGUGAUCUACCCAUGACCAGGUUGAAGUUCAGGUAACACUGAAUGGAGGACCGAACCGACUUACGUUGAAAAGUGAGCGGAUGAGUUGUGGGUAGCGGAGAAAUUCCAAUCGAACCUGGAGAUAGCUGGUUCUCUCCGAAAUAGCUUUAGGGCUAGCCUCAAGUGAUGAUUAUUGGAGGUAGAGCACUGUUUGGACGAGGGGCCCUUAUCGGGUUACCGAAUUCAGACAAACUCCGAAUGCCAAUCAAUUUAACUUGGGAGUCAGAACGCGGGUGAUAAGGUCCGUGUUCGAAAGGGAAACAGCCCAGACCACCAGCUAAGGUCCCAAAAUAUAUGUUAAGUGGAAAAGGAUGUGGCGUUGCCCAGACAACUAGGAUGUUGGCUUAGAAGCAGCCAUCAUUUAAAGAGUGCGUAAUAGCUCACUAGUCGAGUGACACUGCGCCGAAAAUGUACCGGGGCUAAACAUAUUACCGAAGCUGUGGAUUGUCCGUAAGGACAAUGGUAGGAGAGCGUUCUAAGGGCGUUGAAGCAUGAUCGCAAGGACAUGUGGAGCGCUUAGAAGUGAGAAUGCCGGUGUGAGUAGCGAAAGACGGGUGAGAAUCCCGUCCACCGAUUGACUAAGGUUUCCAGAGGAAGGCUCGUCCGCUCUGGGUUAGUCGGGUCCUAAGCUGAGGCCGAUAGGCGUAGGCGAUGGAUAACAGGUUGAUAUUCCUGUACCACCAUUAUUCGUUUUAAGCGAUGGGGGACGCAGUAGGAUAGGCGAAGCGUACGAUUGGAUUGUACGUCCAAGCAGUGAGAUUGAGUGUUAGGCAAAUCCGGCACUCUUAAGAUUGAGCUGUGAUGGGGAGAGGAAAUUGUUUCCUCGAGUCGUUGAUUUCACACUGCCAAGAAAAGCCUCUAGCUAGAAUUGUGGUGCCCGUACCGCAAACCGACACAGGUAGUCAAGAUGAGAAUUCUAAGGUGAGCGAGCGAACUCUCGUUAAGGAACUCGGCAAAAUGACCCCGUAACUUCGGGAGAAGGGGUGCUCUUUAGGGUUAACGCCCAGGAGAGCCGCAGUGAAUAGGCCCAAGCGACUGUUUAUCAAAAACACAGGUCUCUGCUAAACCGUAAGGUGAUGUAUAGGGGCUGACGCCUGCCCGGUGCUGGAAGGUUAAGAGGAGUGGUUAGCUUCUGCGAAGCUACGAAUCGAAGCCCCAGUAAACGGCGGCCGUAACUAUAACGGUCCUAAGGUAGCGAAAUUCCUUGUCGGGUAAGUUCCGACCCGCACGAAAGGCGUAACGAUUUGGGCACUGUCUCAACGAGAGACUCGGUGAAAUCAUAGUACCUGUGAAGAUGCAGGUUACCCGCGACAGGACGGAAAGACCCCGUGGAGCUUUACUGUAGUCUGAUAUUGAAAUUCGGCACAGCUUGUACAGGAUAGGUAGGAGCCUGAGAUACGUGAGCGCUAGCUUACGUGGAGGCGUUGGUGGGAUACUACCCUCGCUGUGUUGGAUUUCUAACCCGCACCAUUUAUCAUGGUGGGAGACAGUGUCAGAUGGGCAGUUUGACUGGGGCGGUCGCCUCCUAAAGAGUAACGGAGGCGCUCAAAGGUUUCCUCAGAAUGGUUGGAAAUCAUUCAUAGAGUGUAAAGGCAUAAGGAAGCUUGACUGCGAGACUUACAAGUCGAGCAGGGUCGAAAGACGGACUUAGUGAUCCGGUGGUUCCGCAUGGAAGGGCCAUCGCUCAACGGAUAAAAGCUACCCCGGGGAUAACAGGCUUAUCUCCCCAAGAGUUCACAUCGACGGGGAGGUUUGGCACCUCGAUGUCGGCUCAUCGCAUCCUGGGGCUGUAGUCGGUCCCAAGGGUUGGGCUGUUCGCCCAUUAAAGCGGUACGCGAGCUGGGUUCAGAACGUCGUGAGACAGUUCGGUCCCUAUCCGUCGUGGGCGUAGGAAAUUUGAGAGGAGCUGUCCUUAGUACGAGAGGACCGGGAUGGACAUACCUCUGGUGUACCAGUUGUCGUGCCAACGGCAUCGCUGGGUAGCUAUGUAUGGACGGGAUAAGUGCUGAAAGCAUCUAAGCAUGAAGCCCCCUCAAGAUGAGAUUUCCCAACUUCGGUUAUAAGAUCCCUCAAAGAUGAUGAGGUUAAUAGGUUCGAGGUGGAAGCAUAGCGAUAUGUGCAGCUGACGAAUACUAAUCGAUCGAAGACUUAAUCAAAUUUUA